rnacentral:rRNA from 1 species
GACGUAGGGUGCGAGCGUUGUCCGGAUUUAUUGGGCGUAACGAGUUCGUAGGUGGUUUGUUAAGUCUGAUGUUAAAGAUUGGGGCUCAACCCUGAAACUGCAUUGGAUACUGGCAGACUUGAGUGUGGUAGAGGCUAGUGGAAUUCCCAGUGUAGCGGUGAAAUGCGUAGAUAUUGGGAAGAACACCGGUGGCGUAGGCGACUAGCUGGGCCAUAACUGACACUGAGGAACGAAAGCCAGGGUAGCGAAUGGG